rnacentral:rRNA from 1 species
UGGGGAAUAUUGCACAAUGGGCGCAAGCCUGAUGCAGCAACGCCGCGUGAACGAUGAAGGUAUUCGGAUCGUAACGUUCUGUUGCAGGGGAAGAUAAUGACGGUACCCUGUGAGGAAGCCCCGGCUAACUACGUGCCAGCAGCCGCGGUAAUACGUAGGGGGCUAGCGUUAUCCGGACUUACUGGGCGUAAAGGGUGCGUAGGUGGUCUUUCAAGUCGGUGGUUAAAGGCUACGGCUCAACCGUAGUUAGCCUCCGAAACUGGAAGACUUGAGUGCAGGGGAGGAAAGUGGAAUUCCCAGUGUAGCGGUGAGAUGCGUAGGUAUUGGGAGGAACAACAGUAGCGAAGGCGGCUUUCUGGACUGCAACUGACACUGAAACACGAAAGCGUAGGUAGCAAACAGG